rnacentral:rRNA from 1 species
UCCUGACUGACCGAUAGUGAACCAGUACCGUGAGGGAAAGGCGAAAAGAACCCCGGCGAGGGGAGUGAAAAAGAACCUGAAACCGUGUACGUACAAGCAGUGGGAGCACGCUUAGGCGUGUGACUGCGUACCUUUUGUAUAAUGGGUCAGCGACUUAUAUUCUGUAGCAAGGUUAACCGAAUAGGGGAGCCGAAGGGAAACCGAGUCUUAACUGGGCGUUAAGUUGCAGGGUAUAGACCCGAAACCCGGUGAUCUAGCCAUGGGCAGGUUGAAGGUUGGGUAACACUAACUGGAGGACCGAACCGACUAAUGUUGAAAAAUUAGCGGAUGACUUGUGGCUGGGGGUGAAAGGCCAAUCAAACCGGGAGAUAGCUGGUUCUCCCCGAAAGCUAUUUAGGUAGCGCCUCGUGAAUUCAUCUCCGGGGGUAGAGCACUGUUUCGGCAAGGGGGUCAUCCCGACUUACCAACCCGAUGCAAACUGCGAAUACCGGAGAAUGUUAUCACGGGAGACACACGGCGGGUGCUAACGUCCGUCGUGAAGAGGGAAACAACCCAGACCGCCAGCUAAGGUCCCAAAGUCAUGGUUAAGUGGGAAACGAUGUGGGAAGGCCCAGACAGCCAGGAUGUUGGCUUAGAAGCAGCCAUCAUUUAAAGAAAGCGUAAUAGCUCACUGGUCGAGUCGGCCUGCGCGGAAGAUGUAACGGGGCUAAACCAUGCACCGAAGCUGCGGCAGCGACGCUUAUGCGUUGUUGGGUAGGGGAGCGUUCUGUAAGCCUGCGAAGGUGUGCUGUGAGGCAUGCUGGAGGUAUCAGAAGUGCGAAUGCUGACAUAAGUAACGAUAAAGCGGGUGAAAAGCCCGCUCGCCGGAAGACCAAGGGUUCCUGUCCAACGUUAAUCGGGGCAGGGUGAGUCGACCCCUAAGGCGAGGCCGAAAGGCGUAGUCGAUGGGAAACAGGUUAAUAUUCCUGUACUUGGUGUUACUGCGAAGGGGGGACGGAGAAGGCUAUGUUGGCCGGGCGACGGUUGUCCCGGUUUAAGCGUGUAGGCUGGUUUUCCAGGCAAAUCCGGAAAAUCAAGGCUGAGGCGUGAUGACGAGGCACUACGGUGCUGAAGCAACAAAUGCCCUGCUUCCAGGAAAAGCCUCUAAGCAUCAGGUAACAUCAAAUCGUACCCCAAACCGACACAGGUGGUCAGGUAGAGAAUACCAAGGCGCUUGAGAGAACUCGGGUGAAGGAACUAGGCAAAAUGGUGCCGUAACUUCGGGAGAAGGCACGCUGAUAUGUAGGUGAAGUCCCUUGCGGAUGGAGCUGAAAUCAGUCGAAGAUACCAGCUGGCUGCAACUGUUUAUUAAAAACACAGCACUGUGCAAACACGAAAGUGGACGUAUACGGUGUGACGCCUGCCCGGUGCCGGAAGGUUAAUUGAUGGGGUCAGCGCAAGCGAAGCUCUUGAUCGAAGCCCCGGUAAACGGCGGCCGUAACUAUAACGGUCCUAAGGUAGCGAAAUUCCUUGUCGGGUAAGUUCCGACCUGCACGAAUGGCGUAAUGAUGGCCAGGCUGUCUCCACCCGAGACUCAGUGAAAUUGAACUCGCUGUGAAGAUGCAGUGUACCCGCGGCAAGACGGAAAGACCCCGUGAACCUUUACUAUAGCUUGACACUGAACAUUGAGCCUUGAUGUGUAGGAUAGGUGGGAGGCUUUGAAGUGUGGACGCCAGUCUGCAUGGAGCCGGCCUUGAAAUACCACCCUUUAAUGUUUGAUGUUCUAACGUGGACCCGUGAUCCGGGUUGCGGACAGUGUCUGGUGGGUAGUUUGACUGGGGCGGUCUCCUCCUAAAGAGUAACGGAGGAGCAC